ACAAGUUAAACCAAAAUUAAAAGUACUGUAAAUAAUGCUAAUAUUAGAUCCUUAACGGCAAUUCCAUUAUAUGAAUUUUGCAUAUUUCCUAGAAUUAAAAUCGUCUCUUUCAAAAUACAAUAAUCUACUUUUUAAUAUAGAAAAUUUGUAGUAAAGAUUUGGAUACAUAAUUUGUGUAUUAAUAACUUAAAUCUGUUUUUUACAACAACGGCCGCAACAAAAAUCAAACUCCAGAUAACUUGGUCAUAAUGACUCUGAUAGAAUGUAAUCAUGAACUAACUUUAUAUCAUAACACUAACAUCUUCAACACUAAGAAACAUGUGAUUCAAAUAAGU
rnacentral:lncRNA from 1 species